GCCUUCGUGGUGUAGUGGUCAGCACGUUUGAAGCGUAUUCGAGAGGUCGGUGGUUCGAGCCCCGGCGAGGGCA
rfam:Stegodyphus mimosarum contig2823, whole genome shotgun sequence.